rnacentral:lncRNA from 1 species
UUCCGCAAUAAAAACAAGUAGGUUCAAAAUUGCUUAUAUCUCUAGGAACAUAAGAUUUCUUUUUAGAAAAUAUUUUUCUUUUAGGAUAGUGAUGAACAUUUUUUUCCUUGUUCACUUUCUCUUUGGUUGGUUGGUCAUUAGCCUUAACAAAGACAGUUUUGAGAUGAUAUAGUUUUAUACAGAAUUUUGCAUUCUUCAAGAAGUUCAUUUAUAGCACCUUGUGCAUCACUAUCGAAAAGAGAAAACUCAUUACUAACCUCAU